rnacentral:rRNA from 1 species
AACGAACGCUGGCGGCAUGCCUAACACAUGCAAGUCGAAUGCCCCGCAAGGGGAGUGGCGGACGGGUGAGUAACGCGUGGGAACCUGCCCCGUGGUGCGGGACAACGUCUGGAAACGGACGCUAAUACCGCCUGAGCCCUGAGGGGGAAAGAUUUAUCGCCAUGGGAGGGGCCCGCGUCGGAUUAGGUAGUUGGUGAGGUAACGGCUCACCAAGCCUACGAUCCGUAGCUGGUCUGAGAGGAUGAUCAGCCACCCUGGGACUGGGACACGGCCCAGACUCCUACGGGAGGCAGCAGUGGGGAAUAUUGGACAAUGGGGGCAACCCUGAUCCAGCAAUGCCGCGUGAGUGAUGAAGGCCUUCGGGUUGUAAAGCUCUUUCGCACGCGACGAUGAUGACGGUAGCGUGAGAAGAAGCCCCGGCUAACUUCGUGCCAGCCGCCGCCGUAAAAC